AUUUGAUUGCUUUAUAAUCAGUAAGACCUGCUCAAUGACUUUUAAAUAGCCGCGAUUUUCGUGCUAAGGUAGCAUAAUCAAUUGCCUUUUAAAUGGAGGCUAGAAUGAAAGGUUUUACAUAUAAAAUCCUUUAUUGACAAUACUUCUUUAAACUAAUUUAUAAAUAAAAAAGUUUAUAUUUUCUAGGAGGACGACAAGACCCUGUCGAGCUUUACUUUAGUUUCACUGGGGAGGUGAAAAAAUUAUUAUCUUUUUUUUCUGGAAAAAAAGAAAAUAAUGAAAGAACUUUGAACUAGCUACCGCAGGGAUAACAGCACAAUUAAUUUUAGGAGAUCCUAUCUUAAAACUAGAUUAUGACCUCGAUGUUGAAUUAAAUUUCCUUUUGGAGAAGAAGCUAAUAAGGAAAGUCUGUUCGACUUUUAAAAUUUU
rnacentral:rRNA from 1 species